rnacentral:snRNA from 1 species
UGGGGAUGGACCAUCCCG